UGUUUAUAAAGUUACAAAAUUGUUUUUCUUCAUGCUGGAAUAAUUUUGCUGAAAAGGACCACCAGUUGCUAACGGGGCACUGUGUUCAUAUCAGAGCACCACUCAACAGCGCCGAACAAGACAAGGUGAAAGCUGAUUCGCUGGAAGCGAAAAACGUCACUUCCGUAAGUUCGUUAAGUACGUGAGACACACGUUACUCAGCCACUUUUUUCUGGAUCGUUGGAGAGUAAGCAGCGUGAGCUUCUUUGGGACUUAAAAGCUUGUGGUUUUCUAUUUUAACCACUAGAUCAUUUACUUUUUGGCAACCAAAGACUAACCUUUUAUUGGUAAUGUGUCUUGAAUUUACAACAAUGAAAGGAAACUUCCAGAAGGACAUCAAGGCCGCGUCUGAUCUCAAGAAAAAGUGGUCAAAAUCAAAGAGGACUUUUCUGCGUGCAAAUAUGGGAGAAAGGAGGCGGAAGGUCCGCGUUUGGUCGGCCAGGAGACCCCAGCUGAGUCCGGGCCGUGUCGACGGUAACGUUACAGCUAGCGCCACGCAGAAGCAAAGUCACGUACCGUCUGUAGCCAUGGCACCAAGAAACACAACGCAGUAUCUAAUGGACCUGGUGUACGCUGACCUAUCAUAUGUUUGUGAUAUCUUUGGACUUCCAACAGAGAGACUUCGAGAACGUGUUCUACAGGAAUGAAAUCUGACGCGUUUCCGAAACCUGACUUGGACUUCGUCGGAAUGAGACGACUGGGCAGCCGUGAACGCAUAAGACAGUAAUAAGUGCGUGCAAACAGUGCCUUCAUUGUUAGCCCUGUACAAAUAUGAAAUCGUAUCAGACAAUAUGUAUUGAAGCCAAGGCGUUCCAACACAAUGCUUUUGAGUUGCAUGUUACGAGUUGAAUGUGGUUUCAUUUGUCGGCUCUCCUUGUUCUCACAGCAUUGCGCAGACUCCAACUCAGGGAGGCGGAACGCUCUGCGUCACUGCUGCGUGAUGACGUGUACACCACGCCCCGCCGCCAGCAAGGCCGCCACCACGUGGCCAGCAGGUAAACACGCUCCACCCUUUGUGUACGCGGUGUAAGAGCGCUGCAGUAGCGUGUUGUCGCAGUGUAAUUACUGAGAAAUGUGCAUGCAUUGUUCUGCCAACGGAUGCAUGUGUGUUUUGGGAGACUUUUACAGGUUGCUGAUCCUCCUCGGUGGAUCUCAGCUGUCUGUGCAACCCAUCCAGAGCCUUGGGAAAAGCCGCAUGGCUGCUUGCUCAUCGCUGCAGGGUAACUGUGGUAAAUGUUUGAAUGUAAAUCUACAUGCACUCAGAGUUGCAACUCCUGUGAUCUGAUCUACUUUGAGAAAUUAUGUAAAUAUUGAUUGUAUUAAAUAUUAAAAUUUGUUAAUUAAGUUACAUCUGAGAUGUUCUUUUGUGUUUAUUAAACAUUAAUGUGUACGUUACAAUGCAUUCAGAUAUUAUUUACCAGUAUCAGAGACAAAUACUUGCAAAUACACUAAGCUGAGGUUUUCAAGGAAGCUUCCUUGUUUUUUUUUUUGUUUUUUAUUUUUUAUUUUUUUUUAUAAAGCUGGCACGAUAAAGGCCUCAUACUCCAUAAACUCCUUGUUUUCAUUAACCAAAAAUGCAUAGAAUACCGAUUAUUUUUUUUUCUUCACCUGGGUACUGCAAGAUUACCUUAAUAAAAUUAAAGAUAUUGAAAGUUAAAAUAUACAUCGAAUGUGCCCGCAGAUGCUGCUUGUAUUUGUCUAGUUUUUAUACAUGUAGUUUUGAAGUUACAAUUAGUUUGUUUAAAAAUGAGAUUUUUAGAAGUGUUGUUUGAAUUGCUUUGCCCAUGGAGCUUGAGGACUGCUGCUGAAGAACAAUGGAGAAGGAUACGUGUAACCUGGUCAGGUGAGAACGGAUAAUGCGUAGUCAUUUCAAGUAGGAGUGUCAGUUUAACAAAAGGGUAAGAAUUUAGCAUAAAUAAGACUUCGUUCCUUGAAAUUAUACAUAGUGAAUGGGGUGGUGGUAAAGAUGAAAUGCUCUGUUGUAUUAAGUAUUGUUUGACGUUUUUGAAAUAAAAGUAUAUGGUCUUACUACUUCGUUGACAAUGACAUUCUUGCUUGGGGAGUUGCCAGCCUACACUGGAUGGUUGACUUAAACUGGAUGUAGCCUGUCAAGUUUGUUACAGCUUUAGUCAACUAAAGGAGAGGUCAAAACUUCUCCAUAAUCAGCUAGUUUUAGCAGGGAGUGCACUCACACAACCCUUAAUGAACAACACCUUUAUAAAUACAGAAACUAACCUUCUAUGGUACAUACAAUGCAUUAAAACCCGAAACGGCACUAAAAUUUUAUCAAUUUUUUAUAACAUUAAAUACCUUUACAAGUGAGAACUUUAGGAAGGUGAAAAUUGAUGCUUUAACUAACACCUGUGAAUUUACUUUAAAAAAAAAAGUAAGAAAGUUCCUAGUGCUCUAGAAAGUUCCCCUCACUUGAAUAUAAUUUAUACAUGAAAACACAUUAAGAAAAAUAGUAAGAAACUGAUCUGAAGUUCAACGAAGAAGAUUGGAUUGGAUUGCUAUUAAAAGUACUCGACCAAACUAUAUUACAAUAUGAAAGAUGGAUAAAUUAAACUACAGUAAAGCUUAAGACACAUAACCCUCCUUAUUAUACCCGUCAAUAUAGGUCUAUUUGUUCUUUGCUCAUAUAAUCAACUUGUUCCCUCCAACUCGAAAGUUUCAUCAACAUAAACUCCCAAGAAUUUAAUAUUUGACACUGAAGCACCUCAAUUUUUGAUAAAUCCUUAGGGUAUCCUAUAUUUGGAAGUUUAAUAUAAGAAUGUAUGUAUUUGUUUGAAGAAAAAAAAACGACUUUAAAAAAAAUCCAAAACCACCUAUGGAAUGAAGUCAAACAUGGAUAUGUUCUGGAAAAUCAAAAAGAAAUGUGACAUUAGUCAGCAUGGGUUAAAAUCCCUUAGCAUUGUUUCAAGCGCCUUGAUAGAUUAAUACAAACUAUUCUAGAAUCAAAACAUUUAUUUCCUGACAAGUAUACACUGUUGGACAGAGCAACAUGUGGGUUUUAAAUAGGCGCACAAAAACACUUCAUCAAAUGAAAUGUAAACAAGCUGCGGAUCAGCACUUCUGCUAAUCGACUCUCUUGACAUAUGAUUGUUUUGAGCACAGGAACACCUUGUUCACUUCCUCGCCCUCCCUUCCCUUUGGCACAAGGAGGUUUCAAAAAACCCAUGUGGCAAACAGGUGCAAAUUCCUAACUGGUUUUCAACACCAGGUGGCCCUAAAUUGCCACAGUUGAGGAAGGCCCACCAGGGAAGUCUUUUGUAAGCAUUACUGAAGGAAGGCUGACAAGAGCAAUGUGUUGAUAGUCCUUGUGCCACAUUUAGAUUACAGUGCAUGGAUGGCAUCUGUUUGUGAGAGGCAUGAAGCAAUGGAGAGGACUUAGGCAGGACAAACCUCUCAAAUUACAUAGAUGAUGAGGAUACACACCUCUCUGUCAAUGGAAGGAAUGAAGUAACCCACACGUCUCUAUUUCUCCAUGUUUUUCAACUUACUCUGGACUUUAAUAGGCCAAACUUUAAGUUUCAGUCUAAAUGGUAAGUGUUUCUCCCACUUUGAUAGUCCUUAGUGUCAGCUCAGCUGCUUCGGUCUAUCUGCCAAAAGUAAUAGAUGAGACAACUCGUCCCUUGCCUACUGUGUGCUGUCAAUGAGAUGAUGGCAGAAAACAAGGCUUGUGCAUUAUGAUUGAUAUGGAGCCCUCCAGCUAGGCCACAUUGCCAGUCUAUUGAUUAUUCGCCAGCCUGGUCUCGUGGGAGGGCCUGUUCCUUGGUCAUCCAUCAUACUGACUUUCUCCCAUUUUAUACAGACAAGAAUAGUUACCAGGAUAAGAUAUUUGAAAGUGCAGGUGCACUCAGUAUAUAUAUAUAUAAAAUUUGAGUUAAUGGUACACUUCAUUUAGGUGAGAUAAGGUUGUAGGUUGGCUAGGUCAUGCUGGCCUGAACAUCAUGGGAUUUUAAACUAAAUGUAAAUGAAAUAGGCCGUUAUCUUUCUUGAACUAAAUGAUCCCCUUCCAUUUCUUUCACAUAAAACCUGUGAGUUUAUAAAGGUUUUAUUUUUUUAACUAAAUUAUGUAAUCAGGUCCAAAAACACCCUGAUUCACUGCCUGUUUUUAUCAAGGCCAGUUUUUUAAAGAAAGUGGCGUUUAUUCCAUUAAUUAUACCAAAAGGUUCAAAUUAGCCUGAAGAUUAAUAACUCAAGGCAAACCAUUUAUCAAAUUGAUUGUAAAUGUAAAUUUCCUUUUAAAUAAUACACAAGUGAAUAAAACAUAUACAGGUUGUCAGUCUGUGGAUUAUGGUGAGCCCUUUCUGAUUACAAGUUAAUUAACAUUUAGCCGUAGGUGACGAAAGCGCAUAAGUCUUUGAAUCAUUGAACCGAUUCGUUCAAAUCACUGAUUCAUUCAGGAACGUCACAAUUAUGUUUUGCAUGGAGACGUUCGGUUCGCUGUGGUUACAUUUUCGUUGGCAGAGUAAAUGGCAAUAUUGUGUUUAAAAUGUAAGCUUAACAACAUUUAGUCUACAGUUUGUUUAACUAUUGUAUAAAAUAUCAAGAUGCUGUAAUACUAACAUCAAUUUAAAUUAAGUUUGGGCGGCUGUUUUUUUUUCCGGUGUCAGUUGUGUAAAAAUAGAAAGUUAAUGAUCCCACACUGAAAUUGUUUUAAUGUAUACGUAGGCCAAUAUGAUGUUUGACGUUCAGUUUACAUCAAAUCAACUUCAUAUCAAGUUUUUGACGUCCGUUUGAUUUGUAUAUUUGUUCUGUAUUUUGAUGUCAAUUUAAAGUCUUUUCAACAUCAGUUAACGUUACACACCUGGAUUUUCUAAUCACGCCAUUAUAUUGUUUGUUUUCCAACUUUGCAUUUGAUUUCUCACCUCAGGUUAGUAAUUUGUCCAACUGUUUUGGCAGAUCUUAUGAGAACAGAGCAGAGAAAUAUGUGUGAAUCAGCUGUUUGGUGCUUGACGAACUGACCAGCUUUUCGCCUUCAGAAAGUACGAGUUGUGUACAAAAAGAUAAAGGUAGGACCCCAGGAAGAAAUGCUUCCCUUUUGCUUUUUUUCUAUUUUGUACACUUAAAAUUAAUUAAAUUUAAAACAAAACAACAACAACCA
ensembl:lncRNA